rnacentral:lncRNA from 1 species
CCAAUCAUACAGUCAAAUUCAUGUGUAUAAACAUCAAAGUUCAAAUUACACUAAACAAGUAAACUAAACAGCACAGAUCGACAGGCAUAACUUUCAGGAGCAAAUGAGAGAUCCAUUUUAUUGCAUGUCCACGUCAAAUCAGCACCAACACAAUCAGGAUAGGAAUGAGUACCUGGUUUUUUGAAUAACAACAGAGGAAGAGAAGGUCAGCAGCAAGUAAUGAGAGCUCACAACAGCCAGAACCAGUCCAAUUGUUCAGGGAGUUUUUAAAACCAAACAAAAUCCAAGCAACCAACCACAAAUUGUCACACCUCCUUUUUACACACCUACCCCGGAGGAUAAUGUAUAAGGGAGUUUUUUCAUUUAAAGUGACAUUAUUCGGAGCGGAAUUAUUUAUUUAUUUAGAGUCGCCACUUGGGAAAGGUUUGACUUUUGGUGUCCCAAGUCACCGGUUUAUCUUGAAUCCCGAACCGAGGAAAAUUGUCGACUUCCAAUUGGAGUCUGCGAACCAGAAAUUCUAAGCAAGGAAUUUUGUUGACCCGAGGGAAGGUGUUAGGCACCCCCGGAUCCCGUAGUUCUAGCACGGUCGCUUAAAUUGUUGUAAAUGGUUAAGAGUUCGAUUUUAAUACAUGUCAACUUUAUGUGCUUUUAUUAACUUUAAACCGCUUUUAUCACUAUUUUUUAAAAGAAUUGCAACGUCGUGAAAACGCGUCUCGAACCACAUCACAUCAAUGCACCCGUGGUUAUUGACACAUUUCGACAUCCGUUGAGAUUUGGAUUUGGGUCACAUAAAUGUGCACCCGAGUUUAGGAAUGUAAUUUGAUUAAAAUCGCGCUUAAAGAGUCUAACACGUUAUUGUCUUUGGGGAAGGCCGUGAAAUUCACUAAACGGCCUAUCCCGAAUUCUACUUAUCUAUUAUAACCAAUUACCGAGGGCCCCGCAAUUUCUUUAUUUUAUUAGGCGAGGCUCGUCUCAUGGCUUAUUUAAAGGUACACUCUAAAGUAAACUAUGAUUUUUCUAAAUUAUUUGUCUCUAAUAAAAUAAAAAUCCUAAUUAAUCAUUAUUAUUUAGGAGUUACUUCAUUUCCAAAUAAGGAUUAAAAUUAAGUCUAUGACUUCAUUGAAGCUUCAGCAUUUGGGCUUUAAUACCGGCCCUAUGCCAUUUUGCUUGUGAUUGCGUAGAGAGAAAAUAAACCCAGACAUGGGCCAUGUUCAACGGAAACAGGCCCAAACUUAUUGUAUUGGUGGCCUGCCCAGUUCAGCUUAUUACAUGAGCAGCUACUUUGUUUUUGUUUGUUUCAUUUCAAUUAACCAAUUGAAUCUACCUCAUGCAUUUUUAAUAGUGACAAUGUGAAGUAGAAUCCAUUGACAGAAACCAGAUAUACUAAAAGAGUUCUAACUAAACCUGUUUAUAGCUAAUUUCAUGAAGAUCAUAAGGCGACACUGAAUCCAAACCGGCUAAGAGAUUCACAUGCUCAUUUGUGACUUGUUUUUAGCUAAUACUCAAAUUAGCACAUAAGUAUUUAUUCAUAUUUACAGUAGAGCAUACUUCUAAAUUGAUUGCAAACUCAACCUCAUUCUGAUUCCAUAUGCUUACCCAGUAUUACCAUGAAAACCAAACAUUAGACCACGCUGUGUCCACGAAUAACAAACAUCAAUUAACAGCCCUAAGAGAUCUGAUUUGAGUACAAAUUUCAACAGUCCAUGGCAGGAGAAGUAAUCUUAAUCAGACAGUCCUAAUUGAUAUACACAUUAUAAAAUUUCACAUGAACACAAAUAUGAAACUGUAUGCAAACUGAAACAAAUAGACAACUGGCACUUCAAUUUCUUUUCAAUUGGCUAUAUUAAGCUUGAGAUCACAAACGUCAUUCAUAGUCGAGCCAAGUACCUGGGAAUUAGAAUGCAACAAGAAGAGGAGAAGUUAGCAGCAGCAGCAACGAUUGAGAAUUUCCAGCAACAACACAACAAUUUUAACCCAGAAAGCAGAGCAGUAGUCCAAAUAUCAAAUAGGACAGAGGGAUUGACCAAAACAGCACCACAGCAAACCAGUAAACUCAAAAGGCAUCCAGAAAUACUCAGCAAACACCAAACUCAAACAAAACCCAGUUUACUUAAACCAAAACUGCUCAAUACCAAACCAGCAUGAUCCAGAAACUCCAAUAAUCAAAAGAGAAGAAAAUCGAACAAAACUAAAUCAAAAACCAAUGUAAUAGUGCAUUUCUUUUUGCAAUUUUCUCAUAUUUUCUGUUUUUGUUUUUGUUUCUUUUUUGAGAUUUUGGAAAUUUGAAAUCUAAAAGAGAGUUUGAACUAUUAGAAAUCAGAUCUAGGUUGAAAUUUGAAUUCUGCUUAGACUUGUUGAGAGGGCCCUUUUGGGGGGAAAUUUUUGAGCUUCCAAACUUUUGGGAAUUUUCAGGGGUGUGUAAACUUGUAAAUGAAGGCAUUGGGGCUGCCUUUUAUAGGCAAUAAAAGGGCAGAAUGUUCUGGAAACUCUCAAACAUUUUCCCCCCUUUUUAUUUUCAGAAUUGGUGAUUAAUCCCUGAA